CUCAGGAAGACCUACUCCCCUCACUGUGCUAGGGAUCACUUCCUUGUUGAGUGGGACCUGAGUUUUGAGAGGGUCUUGUGCUCCUCUUCAUCUGGUCCCUUUCCUUCCAAGGCCCCAGAGAGGAAGGCAUGGGGUGGGCCCUAGCCCUGCUUCUAGCUUUCCUGCCUCCAGCCAGUCAGACAUCUUCCAACUUGGGUGCCGGAAUGAAGUUAGUCACUGAGCCGACUGGGUCAUCUGCUGUAAUCACUUGUGAUUUUCCUACAGAAGGUACCAGAUACAUCCACUGGUACCUCCACCAGGAGGGGGAGGCCCCGCAGAGUCUUCUGUAUUGUGACACCUACAACUACAGGGUUAUGUUGGAUUCAGGAGUCAGUCCAGGGAAGUAUACAUAUGCAGUCAUGAGGGGGAACUUGAAAUUGAUAGUGCAAAAUCUAAUUGAAAAUGAUUCUGGGGUCUAUUACUGUGCCACCUGGGACAGGCACAGUGGUUCAGACCUGCCUACACCACACUGAAAACCUGCCUUGUGGCUGCUUCUGGCACACAAGAUAGAGCUGCCCCCUCUCAUUUCCUGCCACUGAAUUUACUGUAUUCUGUACAAAGAGAAACACAGCUUUACUUCUGAUCUCCCCCUAAUAUCACACUCCCCUGGCACAGCUGCACCUGUUCCCCACCCCUCCCCCAGGACUUUCCUGAAGACCAAGCUGCCCUCUCCAGGCCUCAGCUAAGCAGCCUGCCUGAGAGCAAGGUUCUCUCAGCUCUCCUAGGACACAGGGAAUGUCCACUCACUCUGCUUCCUAGGACACACAGGUAUGCCUAGGGUCCCGCUGUGAUUGAGAUACUUUGGACAGCAAAUGGGAAGGGUAUUUAUACCGAAUCGUGUAUCCAGAGAUCACAGCUGAGAGCAGUGCUCCUCUUUUAGGUAUAUAACAAUAUAAGUAAUACUAUACUUACCACUAAAACACUUGGCCUAGAUAUGCAGUGGAAAAUUCUCUUCCUCUGCCCUCCCUUUUUUUUCUCACUCCUUUCUUAUUUACUUGCUU